rnacentral:rRNA from 1 species
UACGGAGGGUGCAAGCGUUAUCCGGAUUCACUGGGUUUAAAGGGUGCGUAGGCGGGCAGUUAAGUCAGUGGUGAAAUCUUCGAGCUUAACUCGGAAACUGCCGUUGAUACUAUCUGUCUUGAAUAUUGUGGAGGUGAGCGGAAUAUGUCAUGUAGCGGUGAAAUGCUUAGAUAUGACAUAGAACACCCAUUGCGAAGGCAGCUCACUACGCAAACAUUGACGCUGAGGCACGAAAGCGUGGGGAUCAAACAGG